CCUACGGGAGGCAGCAGUAAGGAAUAUUGGUCAAUGGACGGAAGUCUGAACCAGCCAUGCCGCGUGCAGGAUGACGGCCCUCUGGGUUGUAAACUGCUUUUAUAGGGGACGAAAAAAGGGGAUUCUUCCUCACUUGACGGUACCCUAGGAAUAAGCACCGGCUAACUCCGUGCCAGCAGCCGCGGUAAUACGGAGGGUGCAAGCGUUAUCCGGAUUUACUGGGUUUAAAGGGUGCGUAGGUGGGUCGGUAAGUCAGCGGUGAAAUCUUCGAGCUUAACUCGGAAACUGCCAUUGAUACUAUCGAUCUUGAAUCGUCUAGAGGUAAGCGGAAUAUGUCAUGUAGCGGUGAAAUGCUUAGAUAUGACAUAGAACACCAAUUGCGAAGGCAGCUUACUAUGGAUGUAUUGACACUGAGGCACGAAAGCGUGGGGAUCAAACAGGAUUAGAUACCCUGGUAGUCCACGCCCUAAACGAUGGAUACUCGACAUUUGAGAUAUACUUUAAGUGUCUGAGCGAAAGCAUUAAGUAUCCACCUGGAAGUACGAUCGCAGAUUGAACUCAAAGAUAGUAGCGNGNGAGAGACGACGACGACGACGAGGAGGGAGGAGG
rnacentral:rRNA from 1 species